CAGUGGGGAAUUUUGGACAAUGGGGGCAACCCUGAUCCAGCAAUGCCGCGUGAGUGAAGAAGGCCUUCGGGUUGUAAAGCUCUUUUGUCAGGGAAGAAACGGUUCUGGCUAAUAUCCGGAACUAAUGACGGUACCUGAAGAAUAAGCACCGGCUAACUACGUGCCAGCAGCCGCGGUAAUACGUAGGGUGCAAGCGUUAAUCGGAAUUACUGGGCGUAAAGCGUGCGCAGGCGGUUGUGCAAGACAGAUGUGAAAUCCCCGGGCUUAACCUGGGAAUUGCAUUUGUGACUGCACGGCUAGAGUGUGUCAGAGGGGGGUAGAAUUCCACGUGUAGCAGUGAAAUGCGUAGAUAUGUGGAGGAAUACCGAUGGCGAAGGCAGCCCCCUGGGAUAACACUGACGCUCAUGCACGAAAGCGUGGGGAGCAAACAGGAUUAGA
rnacentral:rRNA from 1 species